rnacentral:rRNA from 1 species
AAAGACCUGGCGGCGUGCUUUACACAUGCAAGUCGAGCGAGGCGGGUAGCAAUACCAGUCGAGCGGCGAACGGGUGAGUAACGCGUGGAUUAUCUGCCCUGAGGUGGGGGAUAACCCGGGGAAACUCGGGCUAAUACCGCAUACGACCGUGAGGUCAAAGGGGGCCGCAAGGCUCUCGCCAUAGGAGGAGUCCGCGUUCGAUUAGCUAGUUGGUAGGGUAAUGGCCUACCAAGGCGACGAUCGAUAGCCGGCCUGAGAGGGUGAUCGGCCACACUGGAACUGAGACACGGUCCAGACUCCUACGGGAGGCAGCAGUGGGGAAUUUUGCGCAAUGGGCGAAAGCCUGACGCAGCAACGCCGCGUGGAGGAUGAAGGUCUUUGGAUUGUAAACUCCUGUCAGCAGGGAAAAAGCAACUUGACCUCAUACGUCAAGGAGUUGAUUGUACCUGCAGAGGAAGCCCCGGCUAACUCUGUGCCAGCAGCCGCGGUAAUACAGAGGGGGCAAGCGUUAUUCGGAAUUAUUGGGCGUAAAGGGCGCGU